rnacentral:lncRNA from 1 species
UUUUUUUUAAAUGGAGGUGAAAAAGAACCUAUACUAAUGAAAAUGAAAUUCCAUUUGUUUAAGCAAUCUGUCAGCAAAUCGGUAGCAACCAAAUUGAACCUCAAAAUUGGCAAAACUGCAACAUAACCUUGUUUCCAGCAACUGGCAGGAGUAGAGCUGGCCACAGAAAUUCUGAGAUCAAAAGAAGAUUCUGCAGCUGGCUUUCAGCUUCAAAACAGCAGUUACGGAUGGUUCCUGAGACCUGAGUAGCAAAGCAAAAUGAAGGAACAAAAUGUUUUAAAGAAGAAAGAUAUCGACUUUGUCAGGGAUUUAUAUACCCCUUUCUUCCGCAAUGGGCUAACUGAAUCAAACUGCCUAAUGAUUUGCUUCAAAAGUCCCCUCUUUGGAUCCAACAGAAGCUUCCUUCCGGCUUCUUUCUUUGAAAUUGUCAACAGGUAUCUUGGGAGGAAAACAUCUAGUCACACUAUUAUGAGUGACCAACUAGUAUUUAUAGGAGUACAAACCUAACAGACUAUUUACAAGAAUACCCUUACUAAUUUAUUAUCUAUAAGAAUACUAAUAUUCUCCUAACACUCCCCCUCAAGUUGGAGCAUAUAUAUCAUAAGCACCCAACUUGUUACAAAUAUAUUUCACCCUAGAGCCCCCUAAACUCUUAGUAAAUACAUCAGCCAAUUGAUCUACAGACGGUACAUGAGAUGUCUUGAUGACCCCGUCAAGCAAUUUCUCUCGAAUGAAAUGACAAUCAACUUCAAUAUGUUUUGUCCUUUCAUGAAACACUGGAUUAGACGCAAUAUGAACAGCCGCCUGAUUAUCACACACUAAAUUCAUAGGCUGUUUAUGUUCAAACCCAAGUUCCAGUAACAUGCUCUUCACCCAAACCAACUCACACACAGUGUGAGCCAUAGCGCGGUAUUCAGAUUCUGCACUUGAUCUGGAUACAACUGUUUGCUUCUUACUCUUCCACGACACUAAAUUACCACCAACAAACACACAAUAUCCUGUAGUCGAUCUUCGAUCUGAGGCAGAACCAGCCCAAUCUGCAUCACUAUAUCCUUCAAUAUCAUUGUGUCCAUGAUUUUGAUACAGCAACCCUUUUCCAGGAGCAUUUUUAAGAUACCUGAGAAUCCGUAUAACAGCAUCCCAAUGACUAGUACGAGGGGUAUCAAGAAAUUGACUCACAACACUCACUGCAAACGAAAUGUCAGGUCUCGUUACAGUGAGAUAAUUUAAUUUACCCACAAGUCUUCGAUAUUGCUUAGGAUCAUCAAGUAAUGCACCUUGAUCUCCUGCUAAUUUCACAUUGGGAUCCAUAGGAGUAUCCACAGGUCGGCAACCUAACAUCCCAACUUCACUCAACAUAUCGAGUACAUAUUUUCUUUGACAUAAAUAAAUCCCAUAUUUAGACCGAGCUACCUCAAUACCCAGAAAAUACUAUAGAUGACCUAAAUCCUUUGUCUGAAAGUUUGCCUGCAGAUUGGAUUUAAGUUUCUGAAUCCCCACAACAUCAUCACCUGUAAUCACAAUGUCAUCCACAUAAACAACUAAUAAAAUUUUACCAGCAUUAGAAUGCCGAUAAAAUACAGAGUGAUCUACUCCACAUCUUGUCAGACCGAACUCCAUGACAACACUACUAAACCGGCCAAACCAAGCCCUCGGGGACUGUUUCAAUCCAUAUAAGGAUUUUUUCAAACGACAAACCAACCGCGGAUUCUCCCCCUGAACAACAAAUCCAGGAGGUUGUUCCAUAUAUACCUCUUCUUCCAAAUCUCCAUGCAGAAAUGCAUUUUUCACAUCCAACUGAUGCAAUGGCCAAUUAUAAGUUGCUGCCAAAGAGAUAAGAAGACGGACAGAGGUAAUCUUUGCAACAGGAGAAAAUGUUUCUAAAUAGUCUACUCCAUACACCUGAGUAAAUUCUCUAGCUACCAACCGAGCCUUCAAUCUAUCAAUAGAACAAUUAGGCUGCACUUUUAUAGUGUACACCCAUUUACAACCAACAACAGGCUUACCUGAAGGACGAGGGACAAGAUCCCAAGUACCAUUUUGUUCCAAAGCAGACAUCUCUUCUUGCAUAGCUAAUCUCCAACCAGGAUGAUUAAGAGCAUAGGUAAUAGACUUAGGAAUAGAGAUAGAAUCAAGAGAAGCAACAAAAGAAGAAUAUGACAUAGAGAGACGAGAAUAAGAAACAAAAUUAGAAAUAGGAUGGGAAGUACAAUGUCUCUUACCUUUGCGUAAAGCAAUAGGAAGAUCUAACUCAGAGGAGGGCGUCAUACCUGGAUUUGAAGAUUGAGAGUUAAUUGGUGAAGUGCGUGGCAUAUCAGGAACUUUCUCAACCAUGGAACGACGAGAGUAAACUUGAAGAUGAGGACGAGAUAAUCGAGCUAUGGAAUCUGGUGGACUAGACAACUCAGGUAAUAAAGGGGAAGGGACUGGUAAAACAGGAGAGGAAAAAGAGGGACACUGGUCUAAUUCACAAGACAUACUUUGCUUGAUAAAAUACGGAGUGGAUUCAAAGAAAGUAACAUCAGCACAAGUAAAAAAUCGAUUUAAAACUGGACUGUAACAUCUAUACCCUUUUUGCGCUCGUGUAUAUCCUAAGAAAAUACACUUAAUAGCACGAGAAUCUAAUUUAUCCACCCCGGGAGCAAGCUGAUGAACAAAGCACACACAUCCAAAAAUACGAGGAGGCAAUUUAAACACAGAUUCAUGAGGAAAAAGAAUGGAGUGAGGUAAUUGACCUCCAAGAAUAUUAGAUGGCAUGCGAUUAAUUAAAUAACAUGCAGUUAGAAUUGCAUCACUCCAAAAUUGUUUGGGCACAUUCAUGUGCAACAAUAGUGUUCGAGCAAUUUCGAUUAAAUGCCCAAUUUUUCUUUCAACAACUCCAUUCUGUUGUGGAGUGUGAGGACAAGAGGACUGAUGAAUAAUACCAGACUUAGUCAUAAAGGUAUUAAAAGGAGUGGAAAAAUAUUCUUUCGCAUUAUCACUGCGAAGUAUACGUACAGGCACACCAAAUUGAUUCUUUAUUUCUGUAACAAAUGCACAAAAAAUGGAAUAUAAUUCUGAACGAUCUUUCAUUAAAUAAAGCCAUGUAACUCUGGAAAAAUCAUCAACAAAGACUACAAAAUAUUUAAAACCUAACUUUGAAGUGACUCGACUAGGACCCCAAACAUCAGAAUGAACUAACAAAAAAGGUUCAGAAACCCGUUUAUUGACUCUAGGAGCAAAAGAAACACGAUGAUGCUUUCCUAACUGACAAGACUCACAUUCUAACGAAGAUAAUUGAUUCAAAGUAGGAACCAACUUUUUCAAAUUUUGUAAAGACGGAUGACCUAAACGACAGUGAAUUUCAAGAGGAGAAACAGUAGCAGGACAUGCUAUCGGACCAUUGAAGUUGAGAAAAUAAAGACCAUUAUGCUCAUGCCCUCCACCAAUCAUCCUCUUUGUCUUCAAAUCCUGAAUGACAACAGAAUCAGGAGAAAAAGUAACUGUACACUGUAGAAAUUUAGUGAGCUUACUAACAGACAUUAGAUUAAAUGGCAAAUUGGGUACGUAAAGAACAGAAGAUAGCGGAAGUGAUGGAUUAAUUUCUACAGUGCCUAGUCCUUUAACUUUAGUAGUAGAUCCAUCAGCUAAAGUAACAUGAGGAAAGGGAGUUGACUCUUGAAAAUUAGAAAAAAUUUUAGAGGUACCUGACAUAUGAUCAGUAGCCCCGGAAUCAAUAAUCCAUGGGUCAUUACCUUUUUGUGCUAAAGAAGCAGAGGGAAGAGAUGCGUGAUUUGUAGCUUGGUACUGUAGGAAUUUAACAUAAUCUUCCUCAGAUAUAGUAACAGUUUUCUGGGACCCAUGUGUUGAAGAACUUGAUUCAACUUGGUCAGUGAUAACCGUAUUAACAAACCUUUCAACCAUAGCGAAUAGCACGUCAAACGAAAGAACGGGUCAAAACUUGAGACAAACGCGUGAACAGUAACGGCAUGAACAGUAACUACGUGAACAGUAUCGGCGUGAACAGUGCCGUGAACAGUAUACGUGAACAGUGCCGCUAUGAACAGUGCGGCGUGAACAGUGAUUUGCUAGAUGUUUUACCCUAACCCUAGGACUUUUGCUCUGAUACCAUGUCAACAGGUAUCUUGGGAGGAAAACAUCUAGUCACACUAUUAUGAGUGACCAACUAGUAUUUAUAGGAGUACAAACCUAACAGACUAUUUACAAGAAUACCC